GUAGCCAUUCCAUAACGCAAAACAAAACCCUCUUCGCUUGAAAUCCCCAAUUCUCCAAACCCUAAUUUCCCAUCCACCCUUUUCCGAAAUCCCUAAUUUCAUUUCAAGCUCGCCCCUUUCCAAUGUCGAAGAAGGAGGAGAUGCAAUUGGGAUCUUUCAGACAGUUUGCCGUUUCACUGCACGAGCUCACCCGCCGUCAUGAUGUAUGGGUUGAUAAAAUGAUUCCGAUUUGGUAUGCUGACCAAUAUGCACGGCCAAUUCGGUUUCGGUCUAUCUCCCUCAGACCUCAUUUCCGCCACUGGUUAAUUGAUGCUGGUCUAGCAUUCUUAAGCAGAGUGUAUAGUAAAUUAGGAGUACACCUGGACCACACACUUCUGAAGAAAUUGAGAUGGUAGAUGGAGUUUUACGACUUCCGCCACCCUCUGAUAUCCGAGUUCAGAACAUAAGUGAGAUCAAGCAUGUUGUGCGCCUUUUUGAAGCUCUUAUUGAGAAGGUAUGCAAGGCCGAGGUCAAUGGCCUGGAAGAGGUCAUUGAGGAUAGAGAGAGUCUCCUUACCUGUCUCAAUUAUAUUCUUAAAAGUGAGAGCAAAAAGGUUCAGGAAAAUGCUGUAAGGUUGUUUGAAACUGUGUUGUUUCAUCCAUUUUUCCGUUGUGCCCAUGCCAAGUUGUCCUUGCUUAUCAAUGCAGUUGACUACCUCCG